GCGGCAGAGCCUGGGCUAGAUCCUGGAUGCUGCCUCUAGCAGGAUUCUCUUUACACCUUACAGGCUCCCAGGGCUAUCCUUGGGUAUCCCCAGAUACCCAGGGGUAUCUGUCCACACUACUGUGACAAAUCCUAAGUAUUGUACUUCAGCUCAGAUUUAUCAUCUGAGCUUCAAAUCUGGCAGUCCGUUGAACUUGUUUACUUUGAUGUCUUAGAGAUACUGUAAAUCCAACCUGCCAAAACUAAAUGCAGUUGUCAGGAGCAGAGACCUGGGGCUCCCAGCUGUGUCAUCCGGGCUAAUGGAGACAUCAGUAUGGGGCCUGAUGUUGGAGAACUGGAGACAUGAAGGGACACAAACCCCAAACUUUGUUGUGAGUUUAACCUCCUGAAUUGGAUGGGGAGGAUGGGGAAGGUGACAUGUACCAUCCAUGUGGAGCCCCUUCUCCCACCUCGGAGGAUGAAGAGUAUCUUACCAUCAACUCUACAUGCCAAGGCCAGCUACCCUGUGAAGAAUGU
rnacentral:lncRNA from 10 species